GAAAGGAGGGGCUCAAGCACACAAGAUCUUCCAAAUCUUUAUACACUGUCAACAGAGAAACAGCAGAGUGUCAGCUAAGAAAUCUCCUCCCCAGCUUUGC